GAAGGGAUGGCUGAGCGGUUGAAGGCGAUAGACUGUAAAUCUAUUAAUUAAUUAUUGUCGUAGGUUCAAAUCCUACUCUCUUUA
rnacentral:tRNA from 1 species